rnacentral:rRNA from 1 species
GACGAACGCUGGCGGCGUGCUUAACACAUGCAAGUCGAACGAGAGCGUAGAGAAAGCUUGCUUUUUCUACAAUCUAGUGGCAAACGGGUGAGUAACGCGUAAACAAACUGCCCUACGGAUGGGGACAACAGCUGGAAACGCCUGCUAAUACCGAAUACGUUCCGAAAGUCGCAUGACUAUCGGAAGAAAGGAUGGCCUCUAUGUAUAAGCUAUCGCCGGAGGAGGGGUUUGCGUCUGAUUAGCUAGUUGGAGGGGUAACGGCCCACCAAGGCGACGAUCAGUAGCCGGUCUGAGAGGAUGAACGGCCACAUUGGAACUGAGACACGGUCCAGACUCCUACGGGAGACAGCAGUGGGGAAUCUUCCGCAAUGGGCGAAAGCCUGACGGAGCAACGCCGCGUGAGUGAAGACGGCCUUCGGGUUGUAAAGCUCUGUUAUACGGGACGAAUAAUCUUGUGGUUAAUACCCAUGGGAAGUGACGGUACCGUAAGAGAAAGCCACGGCUAACUACGUG